UACGGGGGGGGCAAGCGUUGUUCGGAAUUACUGGGCGUAAAGGGCUCGUAGGCGGCCAACUAAGUCAUACGUGAAAUCCCUCGGCUUAACCGGGGAACUGCGUCUGAUACUGGAUGGCUUGAGUUCGGGAGAGGGAUGCGGAAUUCCAGGUGUAGCGGUGAAAUGCGUAGAUAUCGGGAGGAACACCAGUGGCGAAGGCGGCUUGCCAGAAUGCGCUCGACGGUGAGGGAUGAAAGCUGGGGGAGCAAACCGG
rnacentral:rRNA from 1 species